rnacentral:lncRNA from 1 species
CACCCGCAGUAGGAGUCGGGGAUGAAGUCCGGCUCCCGUAGGAGUCCGGAUGAAGUCCGGCUUCCGUGGGAGCCCGGAUGAAAUCUGGUAGUUGUAGGAAUCUGCCGUUGGUGAAGUUCAGCCAUUGACGAAGUCUGGGGUAGUUCGGAUUGGAGUUGAACCUGGCUGGAAGAAGUCUGGAAGGGAUUCGGAGAACAGUUGAUAGUCGUAGAAGGUCGACUGAUGGCGGAACUCAGUGAGCACUUGGGGUGGCUCGAUAGAUGACUGGGGGAACUCAUGUCGAAGGAGCUCGAGUGGUGCAGUGGGAGUUCGUCCGUCGGGGGAAUUCAGUCAGUACUAUGGAAAUUCGGCUGUUUGGAGAAAUCCGGAGAGAUACCAUCUGCAGUCGAAAGCCGAAGGAGUCCUGGGAGGG